rnacentral:rRNA from 1 species
CAUUAAUACUAUUGGUAAUAUAUCUUAGUUUUAUAACUAAAAUAAUUUGGCAGUGAGCGAUUCUUAUUAGGGGAAGGUGUGGUGUAAAGGAUGGUCCGCCUAAUAAUUUACUUUUAUUAUAUUGGUGUAUAUCUGGUUUAAUAUUAUUGUUGAGUAACAGAAGUUGUGUAAUAUUAUUUAAGUCAAGUCUAUGUGCUGUUUAUAAAAGUAUUCAUGCGUUACAUUAAUAAAUGUUAGAUUGUGAUAUUUGAUGAUUUAGGACUUAAAAGUAAUGUUUAAUAAGUUAGUAAACGUGAAAAGAGUUUAGCUCA